rnacentral:rRNA from 1 species
CAGUAGCCGCGGUAAUACAGAGGGUGCAAGCGUUAAUCGGAUUUACUGGGCGUAAAGGGCGCGUAGGUGGUUAUGUAAGUGAGAUGUGAAAUCCCCGGGCUCAACCUGGGAACUGCAUCUUAUACUGCGUAGCUGGAGUGCAGUAGAGGGUAGUGGAAUUUCCGGUGUAGCGGUGAAAUGCGUAGAUAUCGGAAGGAACACCUGUGGCGAAAGCGGCUCACUGGACAAUACCUGACGCUGAUGCACGAAAGCUAGGGGAGCAAACAGGAUUAGAUACCCCCGUAGUCCCUGUCUCUUAUAC